AUCUAUGUAAAAACCGGAAUUUUAAGAUGAUAUUUUACAUAUAUUUUAGCCUGUUUCUUAUGCUGCAACAGCAGCCAAAUGAAGCUGACCUUUCUCAUGCCACCAUCUCUCAUCCAACAGUCAUCCGAGAGAAAUAAAAAAACUGGUUACUCAAGCAAGAAAAAGCAAUUAACAGUGUGAUAAUUAAAUGAGCGAUCUCACUUUAGAAAUCUACUUGAAACCCUUUUGCAUAUAAUUUAACCCUUCAACUAAAAUAAGGGUUGAAAACACUUGCUUUUCAGCAAAUCAAACGAAUAAAAUAAAUAAAAAUACAAAAAAUCAAACAACAAAAUUGACAGACAUUUUGUAAAAUUUAAAUGAAUUUUAGUUUUUAUCAAGUGGCAAAUAACUGGACAAGUAUUCUCGUAGAAUUAGGCAAAAGAUUUAAGCAUUGGUAAUCAAUAGUUUGAAUAAAUUGAUUGAUGAUUGACAAUAUUGUCGCAUAGCCAAUUCAAUACUUGAUGUAUAUAAAAGCAUUGAAAAACAAUAUAUAAUAUAAUAUAUAUAUAAGCAAAGGUAGAGACUGUACAUUAUUAGCAACAUAGAUGAAAGGUAGAUUGAGUUAGACCUAAAUUAUAGUCAUGGUAUCUACGAUGGAUACCGGAGGGCAAGUUUCUCUCUGAUACGGUGAUGUUAACGCCUGUGAUGAAAAUAAACGUCCAUCAAGAAGAAGAGAGAAAAUAGUAAAGAGACAAGGAAAAUAUUACUCAAGCAAACCACUAUUUUGGAAGGAGGAGUACAGGCAUGAGAUGAGACAAAUUUGUCAGGCUAACAAGGUGUUAGCUUUGCUCCUUGUCAUGCUUCAUCUUGACAUUUGUAAAUCAAUUUCAGAUGAAAUAAAAUUUUCAAGAGAAUAAAAAUGGCUAGAAAAAGAUAGAUUGAAAACUGGUUGUGAAUAUAUCACCAGGUGGAGAGAUGAGAAGAUACAAGCAUAGUGUCGACCAGAAUAUUAUAGACUUAUCAAGCCAUCCUAAUAGUCUCAUCAGGAUGCAAGCUUGCAGAUUUUAUCAUCAAAUGGUCAAUUGGAGAGAUUGCUGAGUUGGUUUAAGUAACUCUGCAGAAAUUGUGGUCGUCUAUACAAUUUUACCCUCAUAAAGGAACGAAGGAAAAUUGUAUAUAUAGUAUGGACAUUUGAGGAGUAAGAGGAGGUCUUACAAAACAUAGAGGAGUAACUAUUAUAAACUGUAGCACCUCGAAACAACCACCUCAUAGUCAACCUCAUACUCUCUUGACA